rnacentral:rRNA from 1 species
ACACCAGUUCUCGUCUGAUCACUGAAGUUAAGCAGCGUCGGGCGCGGUUAGUACUUGGAUGGGUGACCGCUUGGGAACACCGCGUGCCCGUUGCC